AGUCAAGUAAUUAAGUGCAUGUGGUGGAUGCCUUGGCAGUCAGAGGCGAUGAAAGACGUGAUAGCCUGCGAAAAGCUCCGGGGAGGCGGCAAAUAUCCUUAGAUCCGGAGAUGUCUGAAUGGGGGAACCCACCUACUUUAAGGUAGGUAUUGCAACAUGAAUACAUAGUGUUGCAAGGCGAACGAGGGGAAGUGAAACAUCUCAGUACCCUUAGGAAAAGAAAUCAAUUGAGAUUCCCUCAGUAGCGGCGAGCGAACGGGGAUCAGCCCAUUAAGUUAUGUGUGUUUUAGUGGAACGCUCUGGGAAGUGCGAACGUAGAGGGUGAUAUUCCCGUACACGAAAGGGCACACAUAAUGAUGACGAGUAGGGCGAGGCACGUGAAACCUUGUCUGAAUAUGGGGGGACCAUCCUCCAAGGCUAAAUACUCCUGACUGACCGAUAGUGAACCAGUACCGUGAGGGAAAGGCGAAAAGAACCCCUGUGAGGGGAGUGAAAUAGAUCCUGAAACCGCAUGCAUACAAGCAGUGGGAGCACCUUCGUGGUGUGACUGCGUACCUUUUGUAUAAUGGGUCAGCGACUUAUAUUCAGUAGCGAGGUUAACCGUAUAGGGGAGCCGUAGAGAAAUCGAGUCUUAAUAGGGCGUUUAGUUGCUGGGUAUAGACCCGAAACCAGGCGAUCUAUCCAUGAGCAGGUUGAAGGUUGGGUAACACUAACUGGAGGACCGAACCCACUGUCGUUGAAAAGCCAGGGGAUGACUUGUGGAUAGGGGUGAAAGGCUAAUCAAGCCUGGUGAUAGCUGGUUCUCCCCGAAAGCUAUUUAGGUAGCGCCUCGGACGAAUACCAUAGGGGGUAGAGCACUGUUUCGGCUAGGGGGUCAUCCCGACUUACCAAACCGAUGCAAACUCCGAAUACCUAUGAGUACUAUCCGGGAGACAGACUGCGGGUGCUAACGUCCGUAGUCAAGAGGAAAACAAUCCAGACCGCCAGCUAAGGCCCCAAAAUCAUAGUUAAGUGGGAAACGAUGUGGGAAGGCAUAGACAGCUAGGAGGUUGGCUUAGAAGCAGCCACCCUUUAAAGAAAGCGUAAUAGCUCACUAGUCGAGUCGGCCUGCGCGGAAGAUGUAACGGGGCUAAAACUAUGUGCCGAAGCUGCGGAUGUAUACUUUGUAUACGUGGUAGGGGAGCGUUCUGUAAGCCGAUGAAGGUGUGUUGAGAAGCAUGCUGGAGGUAUCAGAAGUGCGAAUGCUGACGUGAGUAACGACAAAACGGGUGAAAAACCCGUUCGCCGAAAGACCAAGGGUUCCAGUCCAACGUUAAUCGGGGCUGGGUGAGUCGACCCCUAAGGCGAGGCCGAAAGGCGUAGUCGAUGGGAAAAUGGUUAAUAUUCCAUUACUUCUGUGUAAUGCGAUGAGAGGACGGAGAAGGCUAAAUCAGCCUGGCGUUGGUUGUCCAGGUGAAAGGAUGUAGGCAUGUAUCUUAGGCAAAUCCGGGGUACUCUAUGCUGAGAUCUGAUAGCAAGCUGUACUUGUACAGCGAAGUGGUUGAUGCCAUGCUUCCAGGAAAAGUCUCUAAGCUUCAGUUACACAGGAAUCGUACCCGAAACCGACACAGGUGGUCAGGUCGAGUAGACCAAGGCGCUUGAGAGAACUCUGCUGAAGGAACUAGGCAAAAUGGUACCGUAACUUCGGGAGAAGGUACGCUGUUGUUGGUGAUGGAACUCGCUUCCUGAGCUGACGACAGCCGCAGAAACCAGGCCGCUGCAACUGUUUAUUAAAAACAUAGCACUCUGCAAACACGAAAGUGGACGUAUAGGGUGUGAUGCCUGCCCGGUGCUGGAAGGUUAAUUGAUGGGGUUAGCGUAAGCGAAGCUCUUGAUCGAAGCCCCAGUAAACGGCGGCCGUAACUAUAACGGUCCUAAGGUAGCGAAAUUCCUUGUCGGGUAAGUUCCGACCUGCACGAAUGGCAUAAUGAUGGCGGCGCUGUCUCCAGCAGAGGCUCAGUGAAAUCGAAAUCGCUGUGAAGAUGCAGUGUACCCGCGGCUAGACGGAAAGACCCCGUGAACCUUUACUGCAGCUUGACACUGAACUUUGACCUUACUUGUGUAGGAUAGGUGGGAGGCUUUGAAGCUGGAACGCUAGUUCCAGUGGAGCCGUCCUUGAAAUACCACCCUGGUAAUGUUGAGGUUCUAACUCUGUCCCGUGAUCCGGGACGAGGACCGUGUCUGGUGGGUAGUUUGACUGGGGCGGUCUCCUCCUAAAGAGUAACGGAGGAGUACGAAGGUGCGCUCAGCGUGGUCGGAAAUCACGCGUAGAGUAUAAAGGCAAAAGCGCGCUUAACUGCGAGACCCACAAGUCGAGCAGGUACGAAAGUAGGUCUUAGUGAUCCGGUGGUUCUGUAUGGAAGGGCCAUCGCUCAACGGAUAAAAGGUACUCUGGGGAUAACAGGCUGAUACCGCCCAAGAGUUCAUAUCGACGGCGGUGUUUGGCACCUCGAUGUCGGCUCAUCUCAUCCUGGGGCUGAAGCAGGUCCCAAGGGUAUGGCUGUUCGCCAUUUAAAGAGGUACGCGAGCUGGGUUUAGAACGUCGUGAGACAGUUCGGUCCCUAUCUACCGUGGGCGCUGGAAAUUUGAGAGGAUCUGCUCCUAGUACGAGAGGACCAGAGUGGACGAACCUCUGGUGUACCGGUUGUGACGCCAGUCGCAUCGCCGGGUAGCUAUGUUCGGAAGGGAUAACCGCUGAAAGCAUCUAAGCGGGAAGCCUACCUCAAGAUAAGAUUUCCCUAGGACUUUAUGUCCUCUAAAGAGCCGUUCGAGACUAGGACGUUGAUAGGUUGGAUGUGGAAGCAUAGUGAUAUGUGAAGCUGACCAAUACUAAUUGCUCGUGAGGCUUGACUAUACAACACCC
rnacentral:rRNA from 1 species